AAUGAACGCUGGCGGCGUGCUUAACACAUGCAAGUCGAACGAGAACGCGGGAGCUUGCUUCCGCAAGUAAAGUGGCGCACGGGUGAGUAACGCGUGGAUAAUCUAGCCCUGAAUUGGGAAUAACAUGGCGAAAGUCGUGCUAAUACCGAAUGACAUCACGAUCCCUUCGGUGGUUGUGAUCAAAGAUAGCCUCUGCAUAUGCUAUUGUUUGGGGAUGAGUCCGCGUGCCAUUAGCUAGUUGGUGGGGUAAGAGCCUACCAAGGCGACGAUGGCUAGCUGGUCUGAGAGGAUGAUCAGCCACACUGGAACUGAGACACGGUCCAGACUCCUACGGGAGGCAGCAGUGAGGAAUUUUGCGCAAUGGGGGCAACCCUGACGCAGCAACGCCGCGUGAGUGAAGAAGGCUUUCGGGUCGUAAAACUCUGUCAAAUGGGAAGAAUGGGUAUGCAAUGAAUAAGUGUAUACAGUGACGGUACCAUUAGAGGAAGCACCGGCUAACUCCGUGCCAGCCGCCGCCGUAAAAC
rnacentral:rRNA from 1 species